AUACUUAACUGGAGGGAAGAUCUUGUGGCCGAGAAAGUCAUUUCCCAGAGUCAGACUUAUCUUUUGCACGUGGGAUGUGCUGAUCCACAACUUUCCCAAACACAGGAAACUCAGCUGCAUACUUUGUGGUAGAAGGUUGUGUUCACAUGAUUGCCCU
rnacentral:snRNA from 1 species